rnacentral:tRNA from 1 species
GGGAAGGUGGCUCAGUGGUAGAGCGCUUGCCUUGCAUGCAUGAGGCCCUGGGUUUGAGUCCACACCACCACA